rfam:Ectocarpus siliculosus strain Ec 32, whole genome shotgun sequence assembly, chromosome LG02
ACACGUGUUGCAGAGUGGUCAAAUGCGUCGGGUUCAAGUUCCGGUCCUUCGGGUUCGUGGGUUCGACUCCCACCGCGUGUA